AAAUGAAUAGACGGGGGCCCGCACAAGCGGUGGAGCAUGUGGUUUAAUUCGAAGCAACGCGAAGAACCUUACCAGGGCUUGACAUAUCCCUGAGAGUCGUAGAAAUACGGCUGGCCUUCGGGACAGGGAAACAGGUGGUGCAUGGUCGUCGUCAGCUCGUGUCGUGAGAUGUUGGGUUAAGUCCCGCAACGAGCGCAACCCUUACCGGUAGUUGCCAGCACAUUAGGUGGGCACUCUACUGGGACUGCCGGUGACAAACCGGAGGAAGGUGGGGAUGACGUCAGAUCAUCAUGCCCCUUAUGUUCUGGGCUACACACGUGCUACAAUGGCCGGUACAGAGGGCAGCGAAGGAGCGAUCCGGAGCGAAUCCCAGAAAGCCGGUCUCAGUUCAGAUUGCAGGCUGCAACUCGCCUGCAUGAAGGCGGAAUCGCUAGUAAUCGCAGGUCAGCAUACUGCGGUGAAUACGUUCCCGGGCCUUGUACACACCGCCCGU
rnacentral:rRNA from 1 species